GUGCUCACUUGGCAGCACACAUACUAAAAUUGGGACGAUAUAGAGAUUAGCAUGGCCCCUGCGCAAAGAUGGCAUGCAAAUUCGUGAAGCGUUCCAUAUUGUU